rnacentral:misc_RNA from 1 species
AAAAAAAAAAAAAAAGAAAGACUAGCACUUCUUAAAACAAAAAUUAGAUUAUUACACCAAUCAGCCCCUAAAGAAUUAAACAAUACUUACACACCUGCAAAUCGUUGAGCAUCCAGCAACAUAACAGCAAACCAGCAUAUGAUUCACCAGCAGUCUGAAAAUUUGGCGAGUUUGUACACAGGCGAUAAAACAUGCAGAAGCAACCAUGCUCGUCCAGACAUUCUCUAUUUUGCCAACUUCAGUUGCAUCACCAGUUAUAUUCCGCUUAAGUUCCCUUAAAAGCCAACUUGUCAAAUUCAGAAGUAGUUUUUCUCAUCAAAUGAAUGGAAUUUGAGUGCCUAGGGCCUGCAAUUUUAUCCCUCUAAUUUUUUUUCAACAGCUUGGGAUCCUAAUUGUCAUCAAAGUGAAAAUAAUCGGAAACAUUCAGGUGAUUUGAAAGUCGAAGGACUGCCAAACGCACAACUUCAGAGCUUGGAGACACAGAACUGGGAAGAUGG